CACUCCUGCGGGAGGCAGCAGUGGGGAAUUUUGGACAAUGGGCGAAAGCCUGAUCCAGCAAUGCCGCGUGCAGGAUGAAGGCCUUCGGGUUGUAAACUGCUUUUGUACGGAACGAAAAAGCUCCUUCUAAUACAGGGGGCCCAUGACGGUACCGUAAGAAUAAGCACCGGCUAACUACGUGCCAGCAGCCGCGGUAAUACGUAGGGUGCGAGCGUUAAUCGGAAUUACUGGGCGUAAAGCGUGCGCAGGCGGUUAUGUAAGACAGAUGUGAAAUCCCCGGGCUCAACCUGGGAACUGCAUUUGUGACUGCAUGGCUAGAGUACGGUAGAGGGGGAUGGAAUUCCGCGUGUAGCAGUGAAAUGCGUAGAUAUGCGGAGGAACACCGAUGGCGAAGGCAAUCCCCUGGACCUGUACUGACGCUCAUGCACGAAAGCGUGGGGAGCAAACAGGAUUAGAAACCCGAGUAGUCCCAUGA
rnacentral:rRNA from 1 species